UAACACACAGGAGAAUUUUUUGCAGACAUCUUCGUCUCUCAUUACUAAGGUCCGAGGAUCCUAACUGUUUUAAAAGGA